rnacentral:rRNA from 1 species
UACGGAGGAGGCAAGCGUUAUCCGGAAUUAUUGGGCGUAAAGCGUCCGUAGGUGGUUGGACAAGUCAGCUGUUAAAGAGUGGUGCUUAACACCAUAAAGGCGGUUGAAACUGUUUAACUAGAGUUUGGUAGGGGUUGCGGGAAUUCCCAGUGUAGCGGUGAAAUGCGCAGAUAUCAGGAGGAACACCGGUGGCGAAGGCGG